UGGAAAAUACUAUAAUGUUUAUUUCAAAAGCGGUCAUUUGACAGCCAUCGGUAGAAAUAGGUAUAUAUAAUAUGUCGGUAGGUUUAGUGUUAAAUAUACGUUCGACCAAUCACAUUCGUGGAACAGGUUGAGGCUCCUGCGUCCAGGUGGCGCGUCGAUACCAGAAUACACGCGCUUUAGAGUGCCACCCGGUAUAAAUCCAUUGGGUCUCACUGAGCUCACAAAUAUUACGCGUAGUAUAUUUAUAUAUACUCGACUAAUCAAAAACGUGGGUAUGGUUCGACGGACUUCCGCUCAGGUGGCGGGUCGAUGCCGAAAUAAAAUUGGAUCCAUGAAAAUCGGCCCAUGAGCAAUCUCCCUGCUAAUUUCUGCUAUUAUUAAUAAAAUACAUUCCGGUUAAAGCUUCGAUUUUGGUUUUCCACUGUAUCAAUUUCAGAUUUCCGUUACGGUUUUCGGUAUAACAUUUAUGAAAUUUCAGUUAAUGAUUACAGUUUCGUCUCCUUAUUUUUCUGGUUAUUAUCGGUUAUCCAUUUCGGUUUCAGUUAAGUUUACAGAUGGCAGUUUAUCAUCUAUACUUUGUAAAAUCUAAAUCCGCUAAAUGACCAGUCAGACGUUCUAAUUAACCCUUGACCCUAAGGAACACAUUUUCGUUAAUCAAAUUCGAUAUCAUCACUUCAUAACAUACGCGACCUAAUAUAAGCAUUUAUAUUUACACGCAGCAUCAUUGAAUUAUUAAGAAAAUGAAUAAUCAAGAAACUCUCAUGCCACAAGAUCUAUACUCUCAGCUUGGAUUUCUUCAGUGGAAACUAGAAAGUUCAGUGUGCAUCAAGGCGGGCGAGUACAUUUCUUUGUUUAGAACGGCAGCAAGGGAAGAACCUAACUGAACCUUAUGGUCUUUGGUGCAUUGAGUGCAGCUGCACUCAGUGCACGCGGUCUGCACGCGUUUGACAGAUUCUGGCUUUACUCUUCCAGCAACAGAUCGUUAGGAAAACAACCGGACGUAAUGACUUCCGUAGAGGAGAGAACAAAAAACAUCAUAUCAUCAGGAGUAAUAGAUGAUUCAACUCAAUUGCGAAAAGCAACAAUUCCACGAAGAUGACGGUGCAUACGUACAUACAUAGAAAUCAGAAAAAUCAAGGAUGGAUAAAAUUCCUUGCCAGAAGUCGAACAAAUAACUCUGCAUGACGUACGUAUACUUUGAGGAGGAAAUACACUAUUUCGCGUAAACAGCCUCUGACUCUUGUAUAGUAUAUUUUACAGUACUAAAUCUUUGUCCAUCAAGAUAAACGUGGAAACGUCCUUAAACACACGUGGACGGAAUUUUGUUUCAUACCAGAAUGACAAAUAUCUAAACUUGUACCAUAGAAGUAUAAUCUAAUCUGUAGGUAUAAAUGCUUAAAAUGCAAUGACGCACCGAAAAAUGUAAGGUUAGAAAGCUCUUCACCAACUGUCUUUAUGGAGGAUACGUCUUAUUAAGAAUGGCGAAACAAGUGGCGACGCGUGGCGUCGACGUCGAUACCGUACAAAUCGUGUGUGGUCGGACGCAUAUUGCCUGGCCUCUCGGCAAUGUACAAUAUUCUUAUCGAUCCUUGAACGUGCAUAACCUCGUACGUGGUUUAACUGUAAGGUUGUAUAAAUAGAUACCAAUAGAAGUAAGCCUAGUUUGGAUUAUCGAAAAUGUCUACAAAUCCAAUUUGUAUGCAUACGUAUGGAUUUUGUGGUUGUUACUAGUCAAUAAGGUCAUUGCGAAAGUAACUUAUCGGGUGUAAUAUCGGCGAUCGAUAUCAAUAAAAGAUCGAUGACGUAGU